rnacentral:rRNA from 1 species
CGUGAGAAAUGGCUACCACAUCUACGGAAGGCAGCAGGCGCGCAAAUUACCCACUCCUAGAUCGGGGAGGUAGUGACGAAAAAUAACAAUACCGGACUCAAUGAGGCUCGGUAAUUGAAAUGAGUACAGUUUAAAACCCUUAACGAGGAUCUAUUGGAGGGCAAGUCUGGUGCCAGCAGCCGCGGUAAUUCCAGCUCCAAUAGCGUAUAUUAAAGUUGUUGCAGUUAAAAAGCUCGUAGUUGGAUCUCGGGUACUAGCAUGUGGUACGCUUAAUUGCUGUUACUACAUGUCUGGUCCUAAUCAACCGGUUGGCCGUUGAUGCCCUUUAUUGGGUGUUUUCGGUAGCCGGUACGUUUACUUUGAGAAAAUUAGAGUGCUUAAAGCAGGCCAUACGCCUGAAUAAUGUUGCAUGGAAUAAUAGAAUAGGACCUCGGUUCUAUUUUGUUGGUUUUGUAGAGCAUUGAGGUAAUGAUUAAUAGGGACAGACGGGGGCAUUCGUAUUGCGGUGUUAGAGGUGAAAUUCUUGGAUCGCCGCAAGACGAACAACUGCGAAAGCAUUUGCCAAGAAUGUUUUCAUUAAUCAAGAACGAAAGUUGGAGGUUCGAAGACGAUUAGAUACCGUCCUAGUUCCAACCAUAAACGAUGCCAACUAGCGAUUAGCUGCUGUUAAUUAAACGACACAGCUAGCAGCUUCCGGGAAACCAAAGUUUUUGGGUUCCGGGGGAAGUAUGGUUGCAAAGCUGAAACUUAAAGGAAUUGACGGAAGGGCACCACCAGGAGUGGAGCCUGCGGCUUAAUUUGACUCAACACGGGAAAUCUCACCCGGCCCGGACACUGUAAGGAUUGACAGAUUGAGAGCUCUUUCUUGAUUCGGUGGGUGGUGGUGCAUGGCCGUUCUUAGUUGGUGGAGCGAUUUGUCUGGUUAAUUCCGAUAACGAACGAGACUCUAGCCUGCUAAAUAGUACGCCGAUCAUUAGUCGGCGCGUACUUCUUAGAGGGACAAGUAGCGGUAAGCUACACGAAAUUGAGCAAUAACAGGUCUGUGAUGCCCUUAGAUGUUCGGGGCCGCACGCGCGCUACACUGAAGGGAUAAGCGUGUUUUUCCUGCUCCGAAAGGAGUGGGUAACCCGCUGAAACCCCUUCGUGAUUGGGAUCGGGGCUUGAAAUUAUUCUCCGUGAACGAGGAAUUCCCAGUAAGCGCGAGUCAUAAGCUCGCGUUGAUUACGUCCCUGCCCUUUGUACACACCGCCCGUCGCUACUACCGAUUGAAUGGUUUAGUGAGAUCUUCGGAUUGGUCCGGAAGUGGCCGCAAGGUCGCCUCUAGGUUCUGAGAAGAUGAUCAAACUUGAUCAUUUAGAGGAAGUAAAAGUCGUAACAAGGUU